rnacentral:rRNA from 1 species
AUUGAACGCUGGCGGCAGGCCUAACACAUGCAAGUCGAACGGCAGCGGGGGGAAGCUUGCUUCCCCGCCGGCGAGUGGCGGACGGGUGAGUAAUGUCUGGGAAACUGCCUGAUGGAGGGGGAUAACUACUGGAAACGGUAGCUAAUACCGCAUAACGUCGCAAGACCAAAGAGGGGGACCUUCGGGCCUCUGGCCAUCAGAUGUGCCCAGAGGGGAUUAGCUAGUAGGUGGGGUAACGGCUCACCUAGGCGACGGUCCCUAGCUGGUCUGAGAGGAUGACCCACCACAGUGGAACUGGGGGACGGGCCAGACUCCUACGGGGGGCAGCAGUGGGGAAUAUUGCACAAUGGGCGCAAGCCUGAUGCAGCCAUGCCGCGUGUAUGAAGAAGGCCUUCGGGUUGUAAAGUACUUUCAGCGGGGAGGAAGGUGAUAAGGUUAAUAACCUUGUCGAUUGACGUUACCCGCAGAAGAAGCACCGGCUAACUCCGUGCCAGCCGCCGCCGUAA